rnacentral:other from 1 species
UACAAGCUGCAUUGUUCGUAUACACAUUAAGUUUUAACCUUUAAGCUGUAAAAGGGAGUUUUAUAUAAGAACUGGAAUGGCAGGCCCGAUUCCUUAGGCAAUCGGGACAAACAGGAACGUUCUUGCGAACACCCACUUUGAGGAGUGGUGGUUUAAAACUUUCUAUGAUACCUAUACGGCAAAGGCGGCUUUCCA